rnacentral:lncRNA from 1 species
UUUCUCUGUCUUUCUUCCCCUUUCUAGAAUUUCCCCAGAGGCUGGUGACCAUUUCUCUUGGAUGGAUAUACACUGGACAGCGUCUAAACAGAACAAGCAACACCCAGGAGAGGGUUCGCCCUAGUCCGUGGGGCUGUUGUGCUGCCC